AGUGAACGCUGGCGGUAGGCCUAACACAUGCAAGUCGUACGGCAGCACAGUAAGAGCUUGCUCUUACGGGUGGCGAGUGGCGGACGGGUGAGGAAUACAUCGGAAUCUACUUUUUCGUGGGGGAUAACGUAGGGAAACUUACGCUAAUACCGCAUACGACCUACGGGUGAAAGCAGGGGCUCUUCGGACCUUGCGCGAUUGAAUGAGCCGAUGUCGGAUUAGCUAGUUGGCGGGGUAAAGGCCCACCAAGGCGACGACCCGUAGCUGGUCUGAGAGGAUGAGCAGCCACACGGGAACUGAGACACGGUCCAGACUCCUGCGGGAGGCAGCAGUGGUGAAUAUUGGACAAGGGGCGCAAGCCUGAUCCAGCCAUACCGCGUGAGUGAAGAAGGCCUUCGGGUUGUAAAGCCCUUUUGUGGGGAAAGAAGAGCAGCAGGUUAAGACCCCGCUGUUCUGACGGUACCCAAAGAAUAAGCACCGGCUAACUUCGU
rnacentral:rRNA from 1 species